GACGAACGCUGGCGGCGUGCUUAACACAUGCAAGUCGAACGGAAAGGCCCUGCUUUUGUGGGGUGCUCGAGUGGCGAACGGGUGAGUAACACGUGAGUAACCUGCCCUUGACUUUGGGAUAACUUCAGGAAACUGGGGCUAAUACCGGAUAGGAGCUCCUGCUGCAUGGUGGGGGUUGGAAAGUUUCGGCGGUUGGGGAUGGACUCGCGGCUUAUCAGCUUGUUGGUGGGGUAGUGGCUUACCAAGGCUUUGACGGGUAGCCGGCCUGAGAGGGUGACCGGCCACAUUGGGACUGAGAUACGGCCCCGACCCCCACGGGGGGCAGCAGGGGGGAAUAUUGCCCAAUGGGCGGAAGCCUGAUGCAGCAACGCCGCGUGCGGGAUGACGGCCUUCGGGUUGUAAACCGCUUUCGCCUGUGACGAAGCGUGAGUGACGGUAAUGGGUAAAGAAGCACCGGCUAACUACGUG
rnacentral:rRNA from 1 species